GACGAACGCUGGCGGCGCGCUUAACACAUGCAAGUCGAGCGAAGCGGCGGACGGGUGAGUAACACGUGAGUAACCUGCCUUAGACAUUGGGAUAGCCUCGGGAAACCGGGAUUAAUACCAAAUGGUCUAAGAUGGACUCGCGUCCCAUUAGCUAGCUGGUGAGGUAACGGCCCACCAAGGCGACGAUGGGUAGCCGGGCUGAGAGGAUGGACGGCCACAUUAGAACUGAGAAACGGUCCAAACUCUACGGAAGGCAGCAGUGGGGAAUAUUGCACAAUGGAGGGAAGUCUGAUGCAGCGAGGCCGCGUGAACGAAGAAGGCGUUCGAGUCGUAAAGUUCUUUUAUAUGGGAAGCGGUACCAUAAGAAAAAGCCACGGCUAACUACGUGCCAGCAGCCGCGGUAAUUC
rnacentral:rRNA from 1 species